rnacentral:tRNA from 1 species
UCCCCUGUAGCUCAGUUGGUAGAGCGGAUGGCUGUUAACCAUCAUGUCGUAUGUUCGAGUCAUACCGGGGGAG